rnacentral:rRNA from 1 species
UACGGAGGGGGCUAGCGUUGUUCGGAAUUACUGGGCGUAAAGCGCGCGUAGGCGGACCUGCAAGUCGGGGGUGAAAGCCCGAGGCUCAACCUCGGAACUGCCUUCGAUACUGCGGGUCUCGAGUCCGGGAGAGGUGAGUGGAAUUCCUAGUGUAGAGGUGAAAUUCGUAGAUAUUAGGAAGAACACCAGUGGCGAAGGCGGCUCACUGGCCCGAUACUGACGCUGAGGCACGAAAGCGUGGGGAGCAAACAGGG